AGGAGCUUAGGCUCCCAAAG
rnacentral:snRNA from 1 species